CUCACUGACCCUCUACCUUGUGUUUUAAUGUGCAGGGGGAAUGUGCUGUGCCUAUGCUUUACCUCCAGAACGUUGAGUUUGAUGAUACCGUCUCCAUCCUUGUCAAAUGCAUGAAAAGCUCCUGUGAAAGAAGGCACAGGCCAGAGGCCAGUUACAGGUGCACUCUACCUGUACUACUGUUAACUUUCCAAAGAGGACCAUGUGCCCAGUGCUGUCCCUCAUCAGCACAAAGAUCUGCAGGCAGAGAAUCACCAGCUUUGCCAUCCCAUUCUGGGCCUAAAGAGGGCCUUGGCCCUUGUUCCGCCUGGAUGGGGCAGACUGGAGAUUAUCAGAUGGAAAAACACUGUUCAAAUUAAAUUUCCUGCAGAAACACCGUGUAUAUAAAGUCAUUGAAAAACAGAGCUGCUCUGAUUAAAGAGAACAGAGCUCUUUGCCCUCAGCACCCCACAUCACCAUGGCAGCUACUGAGGCACCGCCAAGGAACCUCUAGGACUCUGCAAAGUACAGACUGAAAAGGACACGGAUUAGCGGCAUGGUCCGUGGGGCUCUUGUGGGGAUCAAAUGAGAUAUGGAAUGCAAAGUCAUACUGCAAAACCAUUUAAGAUACUACACAAACAAGGGAUAUUUUCAAGACAUGCUCGUCCAAGUGACAAGGAUAUGAAAAGCGUGGAGAGCGGCUGCUGCAUGGCGCCAACACUGGUGGGUGCAACCUGUAGGGGAAGCCUGGGGAAGGCAAGGCUGUGGGGAUUGAGGCUGCAAUGAAGAGAACAACGGAGCAGGCAGAGCCUCUCAGAGCAGAAAAGCAGCCCGCCCGGGCUCAGGCGUCACUGCCCUUCCAUGCGGCUCAUCUAGGACAGCUCAGGCAGAUAGACCCAUGGUAACGGCUCCCCAGCUUUGGCUCCCAGCAGGCUCCAGAGGCCCUGGCUUGCUCUGCCUUCUAAGCAAAGUGUCUUGCUCAAGCAGCUGAAGCUUGUGGGGAUCCCAGAGCAAAUGGAGGUCACAGUCUGAGGGGAUGUGUAGGAUGGAUAUGAUGUGGCCAUGGAGCAUCCCUGCCAGGCACACACCAGCAGGCCUGAGUGUGGGUCUGGACAAUGCAGGCCUUGAAGUGUACGGGCCUGGCAGCAGAGACAGAGGGCAAGAAACACAGGUGUUGGAGUAAACAGACAUGGUUUCCAGUUCCAUUUUCCCCACUUAUUAGUUCUGUUCCUUGGGCAAGUUCACUUCUUUAUCUCACCUGUGAAAGGGGAAAAAUAACAGCACCCUACUUUGUAGAUACUGUUAUAAUUGUGGGAAAAAAACACAAAAAGAGAGUUUGACCCCAAGCACAGUGCCUGGAAUGUGGUAGUGCCUGAUGAGUGUCAGCUCUGGUCUGGGCCAGCACCAGUACCCGGAGGUCCCCUGUGAUGGAUCCAUCACCACCAGGCACCACCAGAAAUGCUAGAACCAAAUCUGAUGGUGUAUGAUGGCCUCUUGUGGUUCAGGACACGGACUCUAGACCCAGACUGCCUGGCACUAAGUACUGGCCCUGCCACUCCCUGACUGUGUGGCCUUGGGCAAGUUAGUCAAUCUGUCUGUACCUUUUCUCCCUCUGAAAAUGGGGAUAGGGCUGUUGUGAGGAUGGAAUUAAUCAUGGAAAUCACCUAGAAGAGUGCUUGGCACGUAGCCUUCCCCCAGCAAAUCUCAGCUGUCAUUACUGCACUCUCAGCCCCAGCAGGAGCUCAGGGAAGGAGCGGGAGGAAGAGGCAACUCUGGUGCAUGCAUGCAUAUGAGCUCCAACACACAUGCACACACACACGCAUGCACACACACACGCAUGCACACACACGCAUGCACACACACACAU